rnacentral:rRNA from 1 species
GUAGUCUCGCACAGAUGCAUAUCAAUAAGCGGAGGAAAAGAAACUAACAAGGAUUCCCUCAGUAACGGCGAGUGAAGCGGGAAGAGCUCAAAUUUGAAAUCUUCAAGGUUUUACCUUGACGAAUUGUAGUUUAAAGAAGUGUUUUCUGUUGAAGUUUUGGUAAAAGUUCUUUGGAAUAGGACAUCAUAGAGGGUGAGAAUCCCGUAUUUGACCAUUAUUUUCAGCUGUGUGAUACACUUUCAAAGAGUCGGAUUGUUUGGGAAUGCAGUCCAAAAUGGGUGGUAAAUUUCAUCUAAAGCUAAAUAUUGGCGAGAGACCGAUAGCGAACAAGUACCGUGAGGGAAAGAUGAAGAGAACUUUGAAAAGAGAGUUAAACAGUACGUGAAAUUGUCAAAAGGGAAGCGUUUGACACCAGUGUUGUUUUCUCGAAAAUCAAUUAAAAAGAGUUAGAUUUUGUUGUGUAUUGACCUUAACAGCUUGCAUUUCAAUUUUCUUGCUUUUUUUAAUGCACUUUUCGUUUAACAAGUCAACAUCAGUUUCUUUUGUUGUAAAAAGGUCAUUGGAAGGUGGCUUUCUUUUCGGAGAAAGUGUUUAUAGCCUUUGACUCCUGCAAUCGGAGAGACUGAGGUCUGCAGCGUAGAUCCUUCGGGGUUAGAUACAUUUGUGCUAAGUUAUAGCUUUUUAUAGACAACUUGUUGACUAUGAUUAGUCUUGUAGCUUACUCGCUUAUGCUAUUUUACCUACGCUUAGGAUGUUGAAGAUGUAGCACAUCAU